rnacentral:rRNA from 1 species
GAAACCGGAGCUAAUACCGGAUAAUAUUUGAACCGCAUGGUUCAAAAGUGAAAGACGGUCUUGCUGUCACUUAUAGAUGGAUCCGCGCUGCAUUAGCUAGUUGGUAAGGUAACGGCUUACCAAGGCAACGAUGCAUAGCCGACCUGAGAGGGUGAUCGGCCACACUGGAACUGAGACACGGUCCAG